GCGCUGCGGGACGAGAGAAGCAAACGGAGCUUCCGGGCGGAUAAGAUGCGGGUCAGCGGGUGGCUUUUGGGGAAGCUCACAAAGUAGUUGGGAGUUCAGCUGGUACCUAAUCUCUGACUCGAUGCAACCGUCUUCCGACCGGGGAAAAGACACGCAAAAUCGUCGUGGGCGAAUGGAGUGGGUUGGGUUUUUUUUAAGAUCCUUUCGGUGUUUUCAUAUAGGUAGUCCUCAAUUUACGACCGCAGCUGAGCCCCACAUUUCUUGUUGCUAGCCAUCAGCUGGGAUUCAGGAGGCAGCAAUAGAUUGGGAGUGGACGGGGUAAGCGAACGGCCGGCGAUCCAACAGAGCAGAGAGUGAGGGUGAGUGAAGGCGUGGGGGGGGCAAGAGAGGGCUUUGGCGACCCCUGUGAAAUGGCCGUUCGACCCCCAAAGGGGUCGCGACCCCCAGGUUGAGAACUGCUGAUCUAAGGGGAGAGGGGAAUUCAAAAAGGUCAGAAGCUGCAUCGCUUUAUCCCAAAGGUGCUUUUCCAAAUGCAACCGGACUUUUCUUGUAAGAAAGACACUCAACUUUACAUAUUGAUCAAUUAUAGGGGUUGAUUAGCACAGCACACUAGGCAAAUAUGUGACUGGCUAGUCUCUGCUUCGCUCCAUUGUUUAGCCUUUUUGUAUUAGUGAAAGCAAACACUAAGCAACAAAGGUAAAACUUCCUUCCUCAAGCUUCAAGAGUUAAGCUUGUUUUUAAAAUGCAGCUUUCCGAGAAGCCUUGUCAAACCUCUACUAAUAUUGAAAAUAGCAAAAAGAGAGAAAUUACAUUGUUCUUAGUUUUAAGGCAAGGUGGCUGAAGAACAAAAAAAGGUUAACUUUAUUUUAUUAAAUGUAUAUGCUGCCCGUCUGAUUGUCCCAAGUUCAAGAGUUCAUCCCAUAACUGAAGCAUAAACUUGCUUUAGUAACUGGUUUUUGUACUAUAUAUUCAUGACAUUGCUUUUCUCUUUUCCCCAGCCCACAGCUGAUGUAGCUGAAAAUUGUUUUUGGCUACUUCCAGAGAUGUUGUUUUCCCCAUUUUCCCAAUAUAAGUUUUGCUGUGGACCUGAUCUUGGUGGCUUCUUUGACUAGGUGGCUGAUGAGGCAGUUAGAGCUGGAAACUGCCACUUUUGGGCCACUUUUGGGUACUGUAGUAACACAGAUAUCCCUUCUUGCUACCCUCAAAUUGCCUCUGAUUGUUAUAAAUUGUCCUCUGUGGCCAUUUUGGCUUGGGUUGUAGGAGAAACUAGAUACAAGUUAAUCCUCAACUAUCGGCCACAAUUGAGCCCCAAAUUUCCUUUGCUAAGCAAGGCAAUUAUUAAGUGAACCAUUUUACUAUCUUUGCCACAGUUGUUAAAUAAAUCUCGCUUCCCCAUUGACUUACAAAUAGCAACAGCAAUAGCACUUAGACUUAUAUACCGCUUCUCAGUGCUUUACAGUCCUCUCUAAGCAGUUUACAGAGUCAGCAUAUUGCCCCCAACAAUCUGGGUUCUUAUGCUGAUUACAUGACCCCGGGACAGUACAACCAUCAUAAAUGCAUGCCAGUUGCCAUGGGGAUGCUGAAAUAUUUGUAAUAUGGUCAUAAGUCAUUUUUUUUCAGUGUUGUAACUUUGAAUGUUCAUUAAACAAAUGAUUGUAAGUCGA